rnacentral:lncRNA from 1 species
AGGCUGACUCCGGAGCUAGAGAGGAGCACAUUCGAGCGAGAAGCUACGUGGGUGCAAACAACACUCCAGUUUCUGCCCGGGAGGAGCCGGAUCUAACAACUAGGAGUUCAAGCCCCUACCUACCGACCGACCUGUGGUCUCUGAAGUUGGACAAUGCUCCCCAACAGGUGCAAACAGAAUACCUGUUUGACCGGGCUUUGUCUCUAGGAAACUACAUACGAGGUGAUGGAAAUGCUAUUAAGAGUGAUGUGAAUUAACACAGAGACCUACAAUUGAUUCAGGGAUCUAUGUAGAAGAGGAAGCAGGGAGAUUCUAAGAGCCAGAGAUGGUGGAUGACUUCAAAGAAACAAUGUUUUCCAGCUACAACAGGCUAAUUCCUUCCUGUGCUUGUUGCUGCUUAGACCAUCGCCAACAAGAUUCCAUCUACAAUUAGAUUUACUAAGAGUCAAAACUAUUGGAAACGUGGUCCGUUCUGAGAACUAGACUAGUAUCUUGUAUCGUACUCAGUGAUGUGUGGCCCUUGAGGCUGAAGGCGGGGCAAGCCGAUGGCAAUGGCUUUCUCCAGCACUGUCUUUUCUAUGAGAGUCACUGUGAGGAUCCAGACAAGGCACAGAAGAGAGUUUUGGGAAUCGCCAGAGCUCUGCAAAGAAUUGAGAGGUGUCAGCACUGACCUUGUGAUCUCCACCAAUCAACUGUUCUAAAGUUCAGUUUUAGCAAAAAAACUAGACAGGACUCAAGGUUUGCAGCAGUAUGGAGGCUGGCAGGAUUGCCCAAGCAGAAGGCUGAGGCCACAAGAGGAACAAUCUGUUGGAGCAAGGCUUUGGAGCACUUGUUCGUGAAGGGUGUAAUAAUAAGUGCCGUGGUGUGGGAACUUAAACAAAUAAGAAUCUCCUUCCUCAAAGUUUGAGAGGCCCAAGAUUCAAGAUGGACAUGUCCACAGGAUGGGCGUCCUUCACUCCUGGUUUGCAAACAGUCACCCCCUGUCUGUGUCUACAUAAGCUCUUACCAUGUGUGUUUCUUCCUGGUGCCUCUCAGAGUCGAUGUUGCUUUUUUUCAUAAGAGUACCAAUUAAGGAUGACUUAGGGACCCUAAAUAGACCCAUUUUAACUACAUUAUCUUUUCACUGUUAUUUUCUUGGUUUCCUAAGGAUCAGACAAGGGGCCUUACGUAUGAUAGGUGAGUGCUCUACCAGUGAGCUACACACCCAGCACCCUUAAUAACAGCUUUAAAGAGCAGCCCUCCAAUGCAAAUACCUUCUUAAGUACUAGCAAUUGGGGCUCUAAUAUGAAUUUAGAAACAUGCAUUUAGAAGAAAGGGGCACAAAACAGCCCUUAUUCAAGGACACUUGAGCACUUGGUGGCUUCAUGGCACCUCUCUAUACACUCUCAGUGCCACCUCUAGACCCCACUUAACAUGAGGAAGAUGCCUCCCUUGCAUUAAGCUUUGUGUCCAGGCACUUCUCAUCCAUGCAGGUAGCCGCAUUCCCUAACUGAUACGUAGCAUCUCACUUCAGCUGUUCUUGUUCACCUCUUUUGAAUCUUGUAUGGAGUGGAGUUCCCUCUUCAAUUAAAAGAAAUUAUUC